rnacentral:rRNA from 1 species
UGGGGAAUUUUGGACAAUGGGCGAAAGCCUGAUCCAGCAAUGCCGCGUGUGUGAAGAAGGCCUUCGGGUUGUAAAGCACUUUUGUCCGGAAAGAAAUCCUUGGCUCUAAUACAGUCGGGGGAUGACGGUACCGGAAGAAUAAGCACCGGCUAACUACGUGCCAGCAGCCGCGGUAAUACGUAGGGUGCAAGCGUUAAUCGGAAUUACUGGGCGUAAAGCGUGCGCAGGCGGUUUGCUAAGACCGAUGUGAAAUCCCCGGGCUCAACCUGGGAACUGCAUUGGUGACUGGCAGGCUAGAGUAUGGCAGAGGGGGGUAGAAUUCCACGUGUAGCAGUGAAAUGCGUAGAGAUGUGGAGGAAUACCGAUGGCGAAGGCAGCCCCCUGGGGCCAAAUACUGACGCUCAUGCACGAAAGCGUGGGGAGCAAACAGGAUUAGAUACCCUGGUAGUCCACGCCCUAAACGAUGUCAACUAGUUGUUGGGGAUUCAUUUCCUUAGUAACGUAGCUAACGCGUGAAGUUGACCGCCUGGGGAGUACGGUCGCAAGAUUAAAACUUAAAUGAAUUGACGGGGUCAUA